rnacentral:rRNA from 1 species
UACGUAGGGUGCGAGCGUUGUCCGGAAUUAUUGGGCGUAAAGAGCUCGUAGGCGGUGUGUCACGUCGGCCGUGAAAACCUGCAGCUUAACUGUGGGCGUGCGGUCGAUACGGGCAUCACUGGAGUUCGGCAGGGGAGAGUGGAAUUCCUGGUGUAGCGGUGAAAUGCGCAGAUAUCAGGAAGAACACCCGUGGCGAAAGCGGCUCUCUGGAACGGUACUGACGCUGAGACGCGAAAGCGUGGGGAGCGAACAGG